rnacentral:lncRNA from 1 species
AAGAAAAAUGGAUGCCGUUCAGACAUACACGCAUUAUUUGGAACUGAAAAUUACGUAAUUUAUCGACCUGCUGGCUUGUAUUUGUUAUAAAUCAUAAAAAACCUGUGACGCCAGUGGAACUACGUGGUUUUCUUUCAUGAUGAUUUGAUGAUACCUCAAUGGAAUUGAGCCAAGUUUUCACCGUAUUGGGUGCUAGAUGCCCCUUGGAGUUAAGCCCCAGUGCCACUAUACUACCUUACCAGUUAUGUGUGGGUGUUGUAGUCCUAAGACACCCCAGAGAUGCAUAGGGCCUUCACAAGCUCAUGCCACGCCUUCCUAUCUUCAGCAACCCUCGUGACCUCGCUCCACCAGCUCAAACCUGCCACUCGCAGCUCAUUUUCGACGGACCGCUUCCAUGAGUAGACAAGGCACCGACGAUCACGGCUUGCAUCACCUGUACUAAUAUAGCAUGCUGAACAAUACUGCCAUUAUACUAGAAUCAACGUCCUGCCCCUUCCCCGGCUGUGUACAAAUUGGAACUCCAUUUGCAUGCCCCUUUGACUGAGCAAUGUGUGUAUGUGCUCGAAACACAUUCACUUGCAACAUAAUGACUCCCAGGCUGACCUGACUCAGCUCCUGUAUGUCUGAUCUACAUAGACAAUGGUUUCAAUGAAAGAGUGAAAAUUCUUCUCCAUGUACAAUCACUUCCAACGCCUACACUGACUACACCAAAUAUGAUCAUCACUCAACGUGUCUCACAUCAAGAUACUUUUCAAAAGUCAUCGAGAAGAGGAACAUAAUAUCUUUUCCCAUGGUUUCCCGAAUAAUCCUAACUAAAAGUUACUUCUCUAUUCUAUUUUUCCUGCAUGGAGUGGCGCUUUUCCGUCUAAUGGAAACGAAAUGAACAUAUAUGCUCUGGUUUUUUUUUGUUUUUGUGCACCUUUUCAAUAUUACUAAUAAAGCAUUUUGUGGGUGUUUCAUUUACCACCUUCCUUCAUAAUUUUGCUAGUGUGUGAUUCACCAUAUCCCUAAUUAUUAAAUGCAAUAGCUACUGCAAUCUGUUCACUGAUGGGAAUCAUUUCAUGUUAACACAGCUCUGAAUACUAUCUUAUAUAAUGACUCAGACUGACUGUCAAUAAAAAUAUUCCUAGCUAUAAGCUUGCCUGAGGUUAAUGAAUGGUGUGCCUAACUCCUUACUUGAGUAUUUAAGAACUAUGCUUAAAUUCUAGAUUGUAUGUUCUUGACAUUCUUGUCAAUAAGCUACUUGAAUGUUUGUCUCUUUCAAGUAAUUAUAAUUUGUUCACACUUCAGUGGAAGACAACUAAUCCUUAGUUGU